rnacentral:rRNA from 1 species
GACGAACGCUGGCGGCGUGCUUAACACAUGCAAGUCGAACGGAAAGGCCCUGCUUUUGUGGGGUGCUCGAGUGGCGAACGGGUGAGUAACACGUGAGUAACCUGCCCUUGACUUUGGGAUAACUUCAGGAAACUGGGGCUAAUACCGGAUAGGAGCUCCUGCUGCAUGGUGGGGGUUGGAAAGUUUCGGCGGCUGGGGAUGGACUCGCGGCUUAUCAGCUUGUUGGUGGGGUAGUGGCUUACCAAGGCUUUGACGGGUAGCCGGCCUGAGAGGGUGACCGGCCACAUUGGGACUGAGAUACGGCCCAGACGCCUACGGGAGGCAGCAGUGGGGAAUAUUGCACAAUGGGCGGAAGCCUGAUGCAGCAACGCCGCGUGCGGGAUGACGGCCUUCGGGUUGUAAACCGCUUUCGCCUGUGACGAAGCGUGAGUGACGGUAAUGGGUAAAGAAGCACCGGCUAACUACGUG